rnacentral:rRNA from 1 species
GAUGAACGCUGGCGGCGUGCCUAAUACAUGCAAGUCGAGCGAACAGACGAGGAGCUUGCUCCUCUGACGUUAGCGGCGGACGGGUGAGUAACACGUGGAUAACCUACCUAUAAGACUGGGAUAACUUCGGGAAACCGGAGCUAAUACCGGAUAAUAUAUUGAACCGCAUGGUUCAAUAGUGAAAGACGGUUUUGCUGUCACUUAUAGAUGGAUCCGCGCCGCAUUAGCUAGUUGGUAAGGUAACGGCUUACCAAGGCAACGAUGCGUAGCCGACCUGAGAGGGUGAUCGGCCACACCGGAACUGAGACACGAUCCAGACUCCUACGGGAGGCAGCAGUAGGGAAUCUUCCGCAAUGGGCGAAAGCUUGACGGAGCAACGCCGCGUGAGUGAUGAAGGUCUUCGGAUCGUAAAACUCUGUUAUUAGGGAAGAACAAAUGUGUAAGUAACUAUGCACGUCUUGACGGUACCUAAUCAGAAAGCCACGGCUAACUACGUG